rnacentral:piRNA from 1 species
UUCUUUAUCCAAGAGAGAAGGUGAC